rnacentral:lncRNA from 1 species
AGGAUAUUCAGGACCUUCUGAUAGCCUGGGCGCAGCACCUGAAUGAGGCUCAGCGCAUCUUCCUCCGUGCCCCUCGUCAUAACCGUGUGCUGCUCUUUGGUGGCAGGAACCCACUCCUUACCCGAGGGGACCCUCGCAUCUGCCACAUCCCCCUCAGCACCCGCAGGGCCACCCUGCGAGAGGUGCUGCGAGUCCACACCACACUGGCCAGCCUGCAGGUGUAUGGGAAGGACACACCGCUGGAGGAGAUCACUAGGUCCCCCCGGAAGGUCUGGCAGAAGAGACAGCGGAGAGCAGAGGUGGAUCCCCCACAGGAGGACACAACUGCCCCAGAAGAGGAGGAGGAAGAGGAGGAGGAAAGCCUUGCAGGGGAACUGGAGACUGUGGAAGUGACACUGGGGACCUUGGACCUCCGGGAAUUUGAAGUGAUGCCCAAGCGAAACCGCAAAAGAAGGAAGAAGAAGGACAAGAAGGUGGAGAAAGGGCCUUGUGCUGAAGAGAGUGGAUACCAGUGUGGGCAGCCUGGCCUGGAGCCAGCAACAGAGCUGCAGGAGGAAGCUGAGGCUGGGCUGCUUCCCUGGAGCAAGGGAGGACACCUUCAGACCCAGCUCUGCGAUGCCCUGUUCACUGCCUGCAAGACAGGAGAUGUGCAGACACUGCGGCACCUCCUGGGUGUGCCAGAGAGCAGGGGUCUGCCAGAGGACAGCGAGGGUGGGAAGGACACACAGUCUGUGGAUAUGGCCCACUCCCUCCUGAACCAGCCUGUGGAUGAGCGUGGCUGCACCCUGCUUCACGUGGCAGCACGGGCAGGCAAGGCUGAGGCUGUGUGUCUGCUGCUGGAGGCAGGGGCAGACCCUGCCCUCAGGUACGGCUGCAGGACGCCCAGUGGUUCACAACCCCUGCUGUGGAACACCAGCAACUCACUCCUU